rnacentral:rRNA from 1 species
UAUGUGAUCGUCUCUCGCAUAUCAAUAAGCGGAGGAAAAGAAACUAACAAGGAUUCCCCUAGUAACGGCGAGUGAAGCGGGAAGAGCUCAAAUUUGAAAUCUUAAAGGGUUUCCCUUUACGAAUUGUAGUUUAAAGAAGUGUUUUCUGUUGAGGUUUUGGUAAAAGUUCUUUGGAAUAGGACAUCAUAGAGGGUGAGAAUCCCGUAUUUGACCUUUACUUUCAACUUUGAUGAUACACUUUCAAAGAGUCGGAUUGUUUGGGAAUGCAGUCCAAAAUGGGUGGUAAAUUUCAUCUAAAGCUAAAUAUUGGCGAGAGACCGAUAGCGAACAAGUACCGUGAGGGAAAGAUGAAAAGAACUUUGAAAAGAGAGUUAAACAGUACGUGAAAUUGUCAAAAGGGAAGCGUUUGACACCAGUGUUGUUUUUCUGAAAAUCAAUUAAAGAACUGUUUAUGCUAAGCUGUUUAGACUUUAUCAGCUAUACUGUUUAGUUUUGAGCUUUUCUUUAAUGCACUUUUCAGUUAACAAGUCAACAUCAAUUUCUUUUGCUGUAAAAAAGCUUGAGGAAGGUGGCUUGAGAUUCGUCUUAAGUGUUUAUAGCCUCUUGCCUAUGCAGUCGGAGAGAUUGAGGUCUGCAGCGUAGAUCCUUCGGGGCUAAAUGCAUUUGUGCUAAGUUAUAGCAUUUUAUAGACAACUUGUUGACUAUGAUUUGUCUUGUAGCUUACUCGCUUAUGUUAUUUUACCUACGCUUAGGAUGUUGAAGACUCUACAGAGAUA